rnacentral:rRNA from 1 species
UACGGAGGAUGCGAGCGUUAUCCGGAUUUAUUGGGUUUAAAGGGUGCGUAGGCGGGAUGCCAAGUCAGCGGUAAAAAUGCGGUGCUCAACGCCGUCGAGCCGUUGAAACUGGCGUUCUUGAGUGGGCGAGAAGUAUGCGGAAUGCGUGGUGUAGCGGUGAAAUACAUAGAUAUCACGCAGAACUCCGAUUGCGAAGGCGGCAUACCGGCGCCCUACUGACGCUGAGGCACGAAAGCGUGGGUAUCGAACAGG